GAUGAAGAACGCAGCGAAACGCGAUAUGUAAUGUGAAUUGCAGAAUUCAGUGAAUCAUCGAAUCUUUGAACGCACAUUGCGCCCGCCAGUAUUCUGGCGGGCAUGCCUGUUCGAGCGUCAUUUCAACCAUCAAGCCCCCGGCUUGUGUUGGGGACCUGCGGCUGCCGCAGGCCCUGAAAAGCAGUGGCGGGCUCGCUGUCACACCGAGCGUAGUAGCAUACAUCUCGCUCUGGGCGUGCUGCGGGUUCCGGCCGUUAAACCACCUUCAUAACCCAAGGUUGACCUCGGAUCAGGUAGGAAGACCCGUUGAACUUAAGCAUAUCAAUAAGCGGAGGA
rnacentral:misc_RNA from 1 species